CAAACAAAAACAAACAAAAAUUUGAAAAAAAAUUGAAAAAGAAGCGGACGGCAACAUAAGAAUGCCUUUUUGCUCUGGCGUUCUUUCAUUUCUUAUUCAUUUAUCAUUUUUCUUCCA
rnacentral:ribozyme from 12 species